UACGUAGGGUGCAAGCGUUGUCCGGAAUUAUUGGGCGUAAAGAGCUCGUAGGCGGUCUGUCACGUCGGCUGUGAAAACCCGAGGCUCAACCUCGGGCCUGCAGUCGAUACGGGCAAACUAGAGUACUGCAGGGGAGACUGGAAUUCCUGGUGUAGCGGUGAAAUGCGCAGAUAUCAGGAGGAACACCGAUGGCGAAGGCGGGUCUCUGGGCAGUAACUGACGCUGAGGCGCGAAAGCGUGGGGAGCGAACAGG
rnacentral:rRNA from 1 species